rnacentral:tRNA from 1 species
GGAUUCGUAGCUCAGGUGGUAGAGCGCAUGCCACGUUAAGGCAUGCUAUGUCUGUUGCUGGUUCGAAUCCAGCCGAAGUCC